UGAUGGUGAUGAUGACCAUGAUCGCCAUGAUGGUGGCCGUGAUCAUGGUGGUGAUGAUCGUGGUCAUCAUGAUGAUGAUCGUCGUCCGCCUCC
rnacentral:misc_RNA from 1 species